UUACGUUUAAAUAAGCCUUUGAAUUCUUAUUUUAGAUCGAAUAAGUCAUUUUCUCUAAUCGUUGACCAACUUUCAUUAGUCAAUGGUACAGUUAAAGCGAGCACAAGUCAGUUGCAACCGUACAACCGAUCAGAAUCGACGUCAGCGGCCACAAUCAGCUCGGUUAUUUAGUGUCGAUUUAAGGGGUCAAUUUUAACUAUCAGUUUAGAAGGUUGCACGAUUCAAUUUUCGGCCACACAUCUUCCCCACCCGAGCUAGCAGAACAACUGAAGGGGAUGAGUGAAAUUCCAUUUUUAUCUUUUUAAUCCCUUUUUUUCUUUUUUUCCUUCCCCGAUUUUUGCAUUCUCUCAUCAAAUCAACCCUUUUUUUUCCCUUUGAAACCCUAAAAACUUUCUUCCUUGGUCCUAAUCAAUUGUCGUUGCCAACCCCUUGCUGCCAUCUCCACUCUCCUGUCGUCGUCCUCCUCCUCGCCAGUCACCAGUUGUCUCUUGCUGUCAUCUUCCCUUUGUAACAAAUUUAUCUUCAAGAUGUCAAAUGAAAUUGAGGAGAAUAUAAAUUUAGCAACUAAUGACUCAACAUCUACACCUCAAGUUGAUGUAAGUGUUAUUGAAGGCAACGCAAGAAGUGAAGCAGUAAGCUCUAAACCAUAAAAGCACAAGGAACCAUCAAAGACAUCAUUGCUUGUGUGGGAUCACUUCGCAAAAUUUGUUGAUGACAAAGGUAAUCAUAAGGCUAGUUGUAGUCAUUAUGAUAAGGUCUUAUAUGCUGAUACCAAAAAAAUAAAACAUCUUCUUUAAAUAAUCAUAUUAAGAUUUAUCUGAAGUUGAAUAUACUCUGUGCUAGUGAGGAGAGUAAUCAAAUGGAAUUAGUUUUUUCAUCAAGAGGAGAUGUGUCUUUUGAUGGUUGGAAAUUUGAUCAUGAUGCAUUUAGAAGGAGUUUAGCUAAGAUGAUUAUUAUAGAUGAGUUGCCUUGUAGAUUUGUGGAAGCGAAAGAGUAUAGGAAACAUAUGAAAGAAGCAUAUCUUAGAUUUCAUAUACUGUCACGAUGGGCUAUUGCUAGGGAUUAUUAUAAGGUUUAUGUUGAUGAAAAAACUCAUAUGAGAAAAUUUUUGAGAUCAUAUUCUAGUAGAAUAUGUCUCACCACAAACACAUGGACUUUGGUAUGAAGAAUUAAUUAUUUAUAUCUAACUGCUCAUUUUGUUGAUAAAGAUUAAACGUUGCAGAAAAUGAUUUUGAACUUUUGUCCCAUUACUAGUCUCAAAGGUCAGACUAUUAGGAAGGCAAUUGAUAGAUGUUUGGCUGAUUAGGGGAUUCAAAAGAUUUUUUCUAUUAAUAUUGAUAAUACUAGUUCCAAUGAUGUUGCAAUAAGACAUUUGAAGAAAAAAUUUAUAUGUUGCCAAAACUAGUAUUUUAUGAGGUAAAUUUUUUCAUAUUAAAUGCGUUGCACAUAUUGUUAAUCAUACUGUGACUGAUGGGUUAAAAGAUAUCAAUGACUCAAUUGCUCGUGUUAGAGCAGCAGUGAAAUAUAUUAAACAAUCUCCUUCUAGAUUAGCUAAAUUUAAGGAGUGUGCUACUAGUGCAGGAGUUCAUAGUAAGUGUUUAUUGUGUUUAGAUGUGUGCACCAAAUGGAAUUUUACUUUUUUUAUACUCGAUACAACUGUGAAAUUUGAGAGGGCUUUUGCAUCAUUUGAGUAUUGUGAUAGAAGUUACAUAAGUGAAUUAGCGAGGAAUAGAGAUGGGGUGCCUGAUGAAAAUGAAUAAGCAACUGUUAUGAGGAUUUUUUUUUUUUUGAAAGAGUUUUAUGAUAUGACUGUGAAUGUUUUAGGUACAUUUUAUGUCAUUGCCAAUUCUUUUCUUAAUUCUAUUUCUGAUGUGUGUGACACUUUGAUUGAAUGGCAACAAAGUAAUGAUGUAGAUUUGAA